GAUGACUGGAAAUUGGGGCACCCAUGGUGUCUUAGAGGAUUGGAAAAAGAACUGUGGUCAGCCACCUAUCUGAGCACUGUUAACAGAUUAGAUAAAGGAUCAGUGUACCCUGCCUUAAAAAGCCAGCUGCAAUGAAAUGCUUUUGAAUGGAGAAGCAUCUGAAAGUUGAGGAUAUCAGAGAAGCUUCCUGCUGUCUGGAAAGGAGAUCAGUUAUGUCUAGGGAAACAGAACUGACAAAUAACCAAGGUACUCCUUGGUAGGAGCCCCACGCCCACCACAAUUUUAUGAGGGAGGAGUUGUCUACAAAAUGUAUAAUACACAGAUCCCAUGCAGAGGAGUUACAGGGAGGAUUUAAUACACAAGAAGAGAGAUUCCUGGUGUCCUGAGGGGCAGUUCCCUCCCUGCUGGCUACUUGAGUGAGCUAUACAUCUUCAGUCCCCAGAUGAGGCCUAUAUGGAAAAGGACGACAUCGAGCAAAGGGCAUAGGUGGAAACGCCCUCCCUACAACACAUCAUCUGCUACUCUCAGCUCAAAGGUUUGAAGAGAGCAAGAUUUACUUCAGAUAGUUCGUGUCCCUGUCACCAUCCCCAUCUCCAUUUCUGAGAGGAGCGUACAGGAAGGAGAAAAGAAGGUGGCUAUCAUUAGGAAAUAAGAUAAUACAUACAUAGAAAAUUAAAUGGUAGUGAAUGAAUAUUAAAAGCCUUUAGGCUAGAAAAAGUUGUAAAGAAGCAAAGAGAGGCCUGAGAGUGGAGGCUACCGCAGAGGAGCUGCCUGCCGUUGCUGGAUAAUCUAUUUUGCAAACAGGGCUAAGAAUGGCAAUCUGAUUAUCUGGCAAAAAAUCUUAAUGUAUAAAGAGGCUAUGUUACCUUAGCCCAACAGAAGACUAUAUCCUGAAAUCCUAAAGGUUCAGAAUACCAGAAUAUGAGCCCAGUGUUCAAGUCAAGAGACCAAGAGCCUUGGAAUCAGACACACUUGAAUAAAAAUUGAAAUUCUUUCACUUAU